rnacentral:rRNA from 1 species
UGGGGAAUAUUGCACAAUGGGGGAAACCCUGAUGCAGCGACGCCGCGUGCGGGAUGAAGGCCUUCGGGUUGUAAACCGCUUUCAGCAGGGACGAAUUCAGACGGUACCUGCAGAAGAAGCGCCGGCUAACUACGUGCCAGCAGCCGCGGUAAUACGUAGGGCGCAAGCGUUGUCCGGAAUUAUUGGGCGUAAAGAGCUCGUAGGCGGCUUGUUGCGUCCGCUGUGAAAUCCCGGGGCUUAACCCUGGGCGUGCAGUGGAUACGGGCAGGCUGGAGGCAGGCAGGGGAGAACGGAAUUCCCGGUGUAGCGGUGAAAUGCGCAGAUAUCGGGAGGAACACCGGUGGCGAAGGCGGUUCUCUGGGCCUGUUCUGACGCUGAGGAGCGAAAGCGUGGGGAGCAAACAGGAUUAGAUACCCCUGUAGUCC